UGGGGAAUUUUGGACAAUGGGCGAAAGCCUGAUCCAGCAAUGCCGCGUGUGUGAAGAAGGCCUUCGGGUUGUAAAGCACUUUUGUCCGGAAAGAAAUCCUUGGCUCUAAUACAGUCGGGGGAUGACGGUACCGGAAGAAUAAGCACCGGCUAACUACGUGCCAGCAGCCGCGGUAAUACGUAGGGUGCAAGCGUUAAUCGGAAUUACUGGGCGUAAAGCGUGCGCAGGCGGUUUGCUAAGACCGAUGUGAAAUCCCCGGGCUCAACCUGGGAACUGCAUUGGUGACUGGCAGGCUAGAGUAUGGCAGAGGGGGGUAGAAUUCCACGUGUAGCAGUGAAAUGCGUAGAGAUGUGGAGGAAUACCGAUGGCGAAGGCAGCCCCCUGGGCCAAUACUGACGCUCAUGCACGAAAGCGUGGGGAGCAAACAGGAUUAGAUACCCUGGUAGUCCACGCCCUAAACGAUGUCAACUAGUUGUCGGGUCUUCAUUGACUUGGUAACGUAGCUAACGCGUGAAGUUGACCGCCUGGGGAGUACGGUCGCAAGAUUAAAACUUAAAUGAAUUGACGGGGUCAUAGCUG
rnacentral:rRNA from 1 species